GGGGCUGUAGUUCAGGGGCAGAGCGCUUGCCUAGCAUGCAUGAGGCACUGAUUUCGAUCCUCAGCACCACA
rnacentral:tRNA from 1 species